rnacentral:rRNA from 1 species
UACGUAGGGGGCAAGCGUUGUCCGGAAUCACUGGGCGUAAAGCGCACGUAGGCGGCUUCUUAAGUCAGGGGUGAAAUCCUGGAGCUCAACUCCAGAACUGCCUUUGAUACUGAGGAGCUUGAGUCCGGGAGAGGUGAGUGGAACUGCGAGUGUAGAGGUGAAAUUCGUAGAUAUUGGGAAGAACACCGGUGGCGAAGGCGGGUCUCUGGGCCGUAACUGACGCUGAGGAGCGAAAAGCGUGGGGGAGCGAACAGG